UGCCAGCCGCCGCGGUAAUACGGAGGGUGCAAGCGUUGUUCGGAAUUAUUGGGCGUAAAGCGCGUGUAGGCGGUUCGUUAAGUCUGAUGUGAAAGCCCGGGGCUCAACCCCGGAAGUGCAUUGGAAACUAGUAGACUAGAGUAUCGGAGAGGUAAGCGGAAUACCUGGUGUAGCGGUGGAAUGCGUAGAUAUCAGGUAGAACACCAACAGCGAAGGCAGCUUACUGGACGAUUACUGACGCUCAGGGACGAAAGCGUGAGGAGCAAACAGGAUUAGAUA
rnacentral:rRNA from 1 species